rnacentral:rRNA from 1 species
CUAUACAUGCAAGUCGAGCGGACAGAAGGGAGCUUGCUCCCGGAUGUUAGCGGCGGACGGGUGAGUAACACGUGGGUAACCUGCCUGUAAGACUGGGAUAACUCCGGGAAACCGGAGCUAAUACCGGAUAGUUCCUUGAACCGCAUGGUUCAAGGAUGAAAGACGGUUUCGGCUGUCACUUACAGAUGGACCCGCGGCGCAUUAGCUAGUUGGUGAGGUAACGGCUCACCAAGGCGACGAUGCGUAGCCGACCUGAGAGGGUGAUCGGCCACACUGGGACUGAGACACGGCCCAGACUCCUACGGGAGGCAGCAGUAGGGAAUCUUCCGCAAUGGACGAAAGUCUGACGGAGCAACGCCGCGUGAGUGAUGAAGGUUUUCGGAUCGUAAAGCUCUGUUGUUAGGGAAGAACAAGUGCAAGAGUAACUGCUUGCACCUUGACGGUACCUAACCAGAAAGCCACGGCUAACUACGUGCCAGCAGCCGCGGUAAUACGUAGGUGGCAAGCGUUGUCCGGAAUUAUUGGGCGUAAAGGGCUCGCAGGCGGUUUCUUAAGUCUGAUGUGAAAGCCCCCGGCUCAACCGGGGAGGGUCAUUGGAAACUGGGAAACUUGAGUGCAGAAGAGGAGAGUGGAAUUCCACGUGUAGCGGUGAAAUGCGUAGAGAUGUGGAGGAACACCAGUGGCGAAGGCGACUCUCUGGUCUGUAACUGACGCUGAGGAGCGAAAGCGUGGGGAGCGAACAGGAUUAGUAUUUUGGUUUUA